rnacentral:rRNA from 1 species
GGUGACGAGCGGCGGACGGGUGAGUAAUGCCUGGGAAUUUGCCCAUUUGUGGGGGAUAACAGUUGGAAACGACUGCUAAUACCGCAUACGCCCUACGGGGGAAAGCAGGGGAACUUCGGUCCUUGCGCUGAUGGAUAAGCCCAGGUGGGAUUAGCUAGUAGGUGAGGUAAUGGCUCACCUAGGCAACGAUCCCUA